UACAGAGGGGGCAAGCGUUGUUCGGAAUUACUGGGCGUAAAGGGCGCGUAGGCGGCCUGCUAAGUCGAACGUGAAAUCCCCGGGCCCAACCCGGGAACUGCGUCCGAUACUGACAGGCUUGAAUCCGGGAGAGGGAUGUGGAAUUCCAGGUGUAGCGGUGAAAUGCGUAGAUAUCUGGAGGAACACCGGUGGCGAAGGCGGCAUCCUGGACCGGCAUUGACGCUGAGGCGCGAAAGCCAGGGGAGCAAACGGG
rnacentral:rRNA from 1 species